GACGAACGCUGGCGGCGUGCUUAACACAUGCAAGUCGAACGGAAAGGCCCUUCGGGGUACUCGAGUGGCGAACGGGUGAGUAACACGUGGGUGAUCUGCCCUGCACUUUGGGAUAAGCCUGGGAAACUGGGUCUAAUACCGAAUAUGAUCAUCAGCUUCAUGGUUGGUGGUGGAUAGCUUUUGCGGUGUGGGAUGGGCCCGCGGCCUAUCAGCUUGUUGGUGGGGUAAUGGCCUACCAAGGCGACGACGGGUAGCCGGCCUGAGAGGGUGACCGGCCACACUGGGAGUGGGAUACGGCCCGGCCUCCUACGGGGGGCAGCGGUGGGGAAUAUUGCACAGUGGGCGCGAGCCUGAUGCAGCGACGCCGCGUGAGGGAUGACGGCCUUCGGGUUGUAAACCUCUCUCAGCACAGACGAAGCGCAAGUGACGGUAUGUGCAGAAGAAGGACCGGCCAACUACGUGCCAGCCGCCGCCGUAACAC
rnacentral:rRNA from 1 species